GUCUACGGCCAUACCACCCUGAACGCGCCCAUUCUCGUCUGAUCUUGGAAGCUAAGCGGGGUAAGGCCUGGUUAGUACUUGGAUGGGAUACAUAAAUAUCAAAUUAAAAUGGAUU
rnacentral:rRNA from 1 species